AACAUAUAAUGAUUUUAAAAUGUUAUUAUUACAUGUAAUAAAUACACAGUGAGCUUAGCGUGCAUAUUAUUGAUCAUUACCUAUUAUUUUAUUCACACAUAUCGAUAAUAAUUUACAAUUCGACCAAAAAAUAAUGUUGCAUGUUGUUAUGAUAACUAUAAAGCCAAGACCUUGCCUCGUGUUAAAAUAUCUACAGUUUUCAUAUGGCUCACAACGACUGCCGACAUAGACCUUAGCCUAAUUAUUAGACAGAAUUACGAUUUGACACCCUUAUUAUAGGUUCUACCUAACCUAACCUAAUAGUGAUUGUGAAAAACCAUGAUUUUUACCCAAUUAUUUUUGUACUAUUAUAAAUUAAAUUAACAAUAUAAUUGCUAUCGUUAAUUUAAUUUUGAUAUAGGUGUUCAAAAUUAUAAUUAUAUUACUGUAAGUACCGGGCGCGGAUCCAUGGGGGAUUUCAUGGUUUGCGCCUCCCCCCUCCCACGAAGAAUUUCUAGAUCUUAGACCCUCGGGUUUCUCUGAAUACAUGCGCAAAUGCGUCUACAAAAUAAGUUUUUUUGUAUUCUAUUUUAAAGCCAUUAAACUAGUGGAUACAUUGUUGGUACUGUAGGUACUAGUCAAGUACUGUUUUCGAAAUUAAAUUUAUCCACGUGAAAAUAUAUCGUAGUCAUAUUUAAUUUAAAUAAUAUAAAAAAUAAAUUCGAUUACCGAUGUAUCAGGUAAUAAAAAUUCCCCUUUAUAAAUUUAAGUAGUGCAAAUAAUAUGUUAUA